AUACGCGAGGAACCUUACCCGGGCUUGAAUUGCAGAGGAAGGAUUUGGAGACAAUGACGCCCUUCGGGGCCUCUGUGAAGGUGCUGCAUGGUUGUCGUCAGCUCGUGCCGUGAGGUGUCGGCUUAAGUGCCAUAACGAGCGCAACCCCUCUCCUUAGUUGCCAUCAGGUUAAGCUGGGCACUCUGGGGACACUGCCACCGUAAGGUGUGAGGAAGGUGGGGAUGACGUCAAAUCAGCACGGCCCUUACGUCCGGGGCUACACACGUG
rnacentral:rRNA from 1 species